UACGAAGGGGGCUAGCGUUGCUCGGAAUCACUGGGCGUAAAGCGCACGUAGGCGGCUUUCUAAGUCAGGGGUGAAAUCCUGGAGCUCAACUCCAGAACUGCCUUUGAUACUGGAGAGCUUGAGUCCGGAAGAGGUGAGUGGAACUCCGAGUGUAGAGGUGAAAUUCGUAGAUAUUCGGAAGAACACCAGUGGCGAAGGCGGCUCACUGGUCCGGUACUGACGCUGAGGUGCGAAAGCGUGGGGAGCAAACA
rnacentral:rRNA from 1 species